GACGAACGCUGGCGGCGUGCCUAACACAUGCAAGUCGAACGGAAAGGCCCUGCUUUUGUGGGGUGCUCGAGUGGCGAACGGGUGAGUAACACGUGAGUAACCUGCCCUUGACUUUGGGAUAACUUCAGGAAACUGGGGCUAAUACCGGAUAGGAGCUCCUGCUGCAUGGUGGGGGUUGGAAAGUUUCGGCGGUUGGGGAUGGACUCGCGGCUUAUCAGCUUGUUGGUGGGGUAGUGGCUUACCAAGGCUUUGACGGGUAGCCGGCCUGAGAGGGUGACCGGCCACAUUGGGACUGAGAUACGGCCCAGACUCCUACGGGAGGCAGCAGUGGGGAAUAUUGCACAAUGGGCGGAAGCCUGAUGCAGCAACGCCGCGUGCGGGAUGACGGCCUUCGCGUUGUAAACCGCUUUCGCCUGUGACGAGGCGUGAGUGACGGUAAUGGGUAAAGAAGCACCGGCUAACUACGUG
rnacentral:rRNA from 1 species